UGCAGACGGAAAAGUUAAAAAUAGUGGAUCCUUAAGACAUGUUAUUUUGUACAAAAUGAAAGCAGAUCGAAUGGACAAGGAAAAGUGAACGUGCCCAAAUCAAAGGCCAGAAAAAUGUGUCUAGUGCAGUUAAAGAGGCAGAGUUGUAUAUAAGACAGGGUAUUGACAAGGAUGGUUUUAUUGUCAAAGA